rnacentral:rRNA from 1 species
GACGAACGCUGGCGGCGUGCCUAAUACAUGCAAGUCGAGCGGACCGACGGGAGCUUGCUCCCUUAGGUCAGCGGCGGACGGGUGAGUAACACGUGGGUAACCUGCCUGUAAGACUGGGAUAACUCCGGGAAACCGGGGCUAAUACCGGAUGCUUGAUUGAACCGCAUGGUUCAAUCAUAAAAGGUGGCUUUYAGCUACCACUURCAGAUGGACCCGCGGCGCAUUAGCUAGUUGGUGAGGUAACGGCUCACCAAGGCGACGAUGCGUAGCCGACCUGAGAGGGUGAUCGGCCACACUGGGACUGAGACACGGCCCAGACUCCUACGGGAGGCAGCAGUAGGGAAUCUUCCGCAAUGGACGAAAGUCUGACGGAGCAACGCCGCGUGAGUGAUGAAGGUUUUCGGAUCGUAAAACUCUGUUGUUAGGGAAGAA